GUCGAACGGCAGCACGGGUGCUUGCACCUGGUGGCGAGUGGCGAACGGGUGAGUAAUACAUCGGAACGUGUCCUGGAGUGGGGGAUAGCCCGGCGAAAGCCGGAUUAAUACCGCAUACGCUCUAUGGAGGAAGGGGGGGAUCGAAAGACCUCUCGCUCAAGGGGCGGCCGAUGGCAGAUUAGCUAGUUGGUGGGGUAAAGGCCUACCAAGGCGACGAUCUGUAGCUGGUCUGAGAGGACGACCAGCCACACUGGGACUGAGACACGGCCCAGACUCCUACGGGAGGCAGCAGUGGGGAAUUUUGGACAAUGGGGGCAACCCUGAUCCAGCAAUGCCGCGUGUGUGAAGAAGGCCUUCGGGUUGUAAAGCACUUUUGUCCGGAAAGAAAACUUCGGGGUUAAUACCUCUGGAGGAUGACGGUACCGGAAGAAUAAGCACCGGCUAACUACGUGCCAGCAGCCGCGGUAAUACGUAGGGUGCGAGCGUUAAUCGGAAUUACUGGGCGUAAAGCGUGCGCAGGCGGUGAUGUAAGACCGAUGUGAAAUCCCCGGGCUUAACCUGGGAACUGCAUUGGUGACUGCAUCGCUCGAGUAUGGCAGAGGGGGGUAGAAUUCCACGUGUAGCAGUGAAAUGCGUAGAGAUGUGGAGGAAUACCGAUGGCGAAGGCAGCCCCCUGGGUCAAUACUGACGCUCAUGCACGAAAGCGUG
rnacentral:rRNA from 1 species